GGGAGGCGAGGUGGCACGCCGCGAGGAGCAGCACGGCCACCAGCGCCAGCACCUUGGCGCUCCUCACGCUGAAGUAGUGGUUGAUCUCCCGCUUGCCCAGGAGGUAAUAGAGAUAAAGAGGACGGGAAAAGGAGACACAAUGGAGCAGCCAUAAUAGUAGGAGGAGCAGUUUUGAGAAGCCCUAAUAUUGGAAGGAUUGGAGAGGAGUACUGAAGGAAGAUGCUGGGAAGAAAAAUCCUGAGAAGGACAAUGAGACUGAGGCAUCCUGAAAAUGCAUUCCCAGGACAUUGUCCCAGGCUGCAGAGGAAUUUGGUUCCUGAGUCUCCUCACACAUUCAGAAAAUAUUGCAUAUUCUAUGUUAUAGAAACAAUAAGUGCAAAAAUAUAUUUAAAAAGAGCUCAUACAAGAGAUGUUCAAGACAGAGAAAAAUUGCACAGAAAAAAAAUCUUGUAUUUCCUUAUCAAAACCGGGGAAAGUAAACAUGUAUAGUAAAUUGGAAAAAGCCUGUAAGUCUGGAAUAUUUUUUUAAGUGUUAUCUUUUGUGCAUUAGCUUGGUGUUCUUGGUAGUGAGAGGAGGCAAUUAUUAUCGACUCUCCCUUCUUUAAUUUUGUUUUUCUUCCUAAAACUGACGAUGGACAACUGACACAAGUUGGAUGAGACAACAACUGAAGUGUAUUUUCCCCCCAGUUAGUUGUGAAGAAUGUGUUCUGUUUGUGGCAAAUUCCUGCACAUAAGGCUGACUAGGAUGCCAACAAUUAAUUCGCUACUAUUGUUAACAUUAGUGUACAGAAGUAAUAGAAAUGUGAAGACAGACCCAGUCUGUGAGAAGUGUGUUUCAGGGUCAAGCCAGCAGCUGACUUUCUAGACACCUUACAGAACCCUGUGAGAAGGCUUUCUUUUGGUGAAUUUGUCACAGCAAAUGAUCCAGGCCUGAGCUUGUCUAGGCUUGAAGUUUUGAAGUUUUAUUCAACUCAACGAGGAUGGAUGCAUUUCUCAGUGACACUUUGAUGUAAACCAAGCUCACAGGUUGAUAUCUAAAAUUGAGUGCCAAUUUAUUAAUUUUUAAUGGGAAAUAUAGUUGUCACACUAACCAGAGAACUCUAGUCUAUGACUAGUCCAUUCUAUUUCUGGAGAUAAUUGAACACGAAGUACCAAAUUAUAACCUGAAACUUAUUUGAUGCAUAUGAAAUCAGAACAAAGGGAAUUGGUUAAAUAAACAUUCUUUAACUGUUAAUACA
rnacentral:lncRNA from 1 species